UACGUAGGGUCCGAGCGUUGUUCGGAAUUACUGGGCGUAAAGGGCGCGUAGGUGGCCUUCUAAGUUGAACGUGAAAUCCCUGGGCUCAACCCAGGAACUGCGUCCAAGACUGGGAGGCUUGAAUCCGGGAGAGGGAUGCGGAAUUCCAGGUGUAGCGGUGAAAUGCGUAGAUAUCUGGAGGAACACCGGUGGCGAAGGCGGCAUCCUGGACCGGUAUUGACACUGAGGCGCGAAAGCCAGGGGAGCAAACGGG
rnacentral:rRNA from 1 species